UACGGAGGGGGCUAGCGUUGUUCGGAAUUACUGGGCGUAAAGCGCGCGUAGGCGGACCUGCAAGUCGGGGGUGAAAGCCCGAGGCUCAACCUCGGAACUGCCUUCGAUACUGCGGGUCUCGAGUCCGGGAGAGGUGAGUGGAAUUCCUAGUGUAGAGGUGAAAUUCGUAGAUAUUAGGAAGAACACCAGUGGCGAAGGCGGCUACCUGGACCGAAACUGACGCUGAGACACGAAAGCGUGGGGAGCAAACAGG
rnacentral:rRNA from 1 species